CACAUUUUCUGGCGAUAUGAAUUUGGCCCCAAGCUGCAGGGUGAAGGAGGCUAUGGUUAUGUGCAUGCAGGAAGGCCUCAAGGUGGCUGUGAAAAUUGCUGACAAGACACCAGAUAUGCCAUAUAUUGUAGGUUCCUGGUCAUCCCAAACACCUCCCCACAGAGAUCAACCUGACACUCAUGGCCAAUAAGGGCCCCAGCCUUCAGCAGAUAAUUAAACUCCUGAACUGUUAGGACGACCCGGACUACUACGUCAUGGUCUUGAAGCAGCCCAUGCUCCGAUGAAAGCUCGAUGAGAAGAUGGCACGACAUGUUAUGUGGCAGGUCAUUCAUGCCACUAACAUUUGCUGUGAGCGUGGAGUCUCCCAUCAUGAUAUAAAACUGGAGAACCUCCUGGUGAACACGGACACGUUGGAGGUCGAGUUGAUCGACUUCGGAUGCGGCUUGCUCAUGAA